AUUAAUGUGACCUCAAAUCAGGUAGGACUACCCGCUGAACUUAAGCAUAUCAAUAAGCGGAGGAAAAGAAACUAACAAGGAUUCCCCUAGUAACUGCGAGUGAAGCGGGAAAAGCUCAAAUUUAAAAUCUGGCAGUCUUUGGCUGUCCGAGUUGUAAUCUAGAGAAGUGUUAUCCGCGCUGGACCGUGUACAAGUCUCCUGGAAUGG
rnacentral:rRNA from 1 species